GUUCAGGUACCUCCCUCAUCAACAUAGAAUCUGAGUGCCUUCUAGUAGUAACAGUGUGACUAACAUCAGUCGUGUGGACUGGUUUUGUGGAACACAAUCUGAUCUAUCAUAAGGGUACCAGAAAAUACUUGGAGUAGAAUCCCUUCCCUCUCUGCUGGAAUGCAACUGUUUCUGUGGCUCCUGUGCAUAGAAGAGAGAUGACUUCUUGUCUCAGUAACUGUUCAUGAGAUAAACAGGGUGGGCGAUGGAGAUGAAAUGGAUUGAGUAACCUGAUGUUAAGGCCUCCAACACCCAUCUGUUAGACGUAAUCUGUUCCCAAGCAGGUUGAAAAUGGGAGAAUCCUCUCCAAAGGGAGGGAGGCAUGUAUAUGCUAAGGGCUCUAAGUGUGGCUCUGGAAUCUUUCAAAGUCUGGAGAAUUGACUCAUAGGAGAAUUUAAGUCCAUGAAAAGGGAAGUCUUCUACAGUAUUCUGGACCUCCCUAGGAAAACCAGAUAGCUCUAGCCAAAGUUCUCUACUCAUAACAACAUCAGUGGAGGUGCAGUGGCCUACUGUCACCUGAAACUAGGGAGGCUAUCAAAGAGGCUCUUGCUAAGAACUGACCUUUGACUAUGAUGGUCUUGAACUGCUCACAGUGUUCUACAGGAGUUCAUCAACUGAAUCUUUGCCUACCCUGCCCCCUACAAUUGUCCAGUGGCUACACUGGCUGCAGGAUGUGCAGCAUGGAGGAGGGUCCUCUGGGGAUGGCGUUGAUGCAGGUAUUAGGGUCCGCUGCUUGCUGACCAUCACACUGAGCAGUCACUCAAACAUUUGCUCCUCCCAGUCUUGCUCAAGUUCCCUGUGUUGCUGUCAGCUCCUGCUCCAUUCUCACCUUGUCAUGCUCAAAGUACUCUGCCACCAGUCUCUCCUCCCUCUCCCUGUCUGAAACCUCCUUUUUCCUCUUCUGCUUCAUCAUUUGCUGCUGGAAUUUCAGCUGUCGGUUCAACCUGUGGUCAGAAUCCCUCUGCAUGUCCUGCAGCAGGUAGUCUCUAACCCUUUGUCUUUUCUCCUGUUAGUUCAGGGUCCUUGCCCAAAGGGGCUAGGUGGCUGCCUUGGUCCAGCAAAGACAGAAGGCCCUGCCAAGGCAAUGAAAGAGGAUAUUACUUUUUUGUCCAGGAAAAGAAAAAAAAAGUUCCUUCCCUUUUCCGCAUCAAAGUAAGGCCACAAGUUAAUACUUUUAUCUACCUGGUAGCAUGCCUUGAUUCCAGCUGCCCUGUCAGGGUUCCUUCCCCACUCUGAACUCUAGGGUACAGAUGUGGGGAACCGCAUGAAAGACCCCCUAAGCUUAUUCUUACCAGUUUAGGUUAAAAACUUCCCCAAGGUACAA